UACGAAGGGGGCUAGCGUUGCUCGGAAUGACUGGGCGUAAAGGGCGCGUAGGCGGUUCACACAGUCAGGCGUGAAAUUCCUGGGCUCAACCUGGGGGCUGCGUUUGAUACGCGUGGGCUUGAGUUCGGAAGAGGGUCGUGGAAUUCCCAGUGUAGAGGUGAAAUUCGUAGAUAUUGGGAAGAACACCGGUGGCGAAGGCGGCGACCUGGUCCGAUACUGACGCUGAGGCGCGAAAGCGUGGGGAGCAAACAGG
rnacentral:rRNA from 1 species